rnacentral:lncRNA from 1 species
AUGAGCCAGGAGUAUGGAGUUGAUAGUGUAAUGUAUGUCCCACUGUGGAUAAAAUAUUUUGGAUUUCCUACUACUGGGAGCCUCAGUGUGAAAUACUUAGAAAAAUUUAAGGUUAGAGUGGGAAAGCCACCAGUAGGGUGUCCCAAAGGGGUGAUUAAAUACUGGACAAAAAAUAAAAAUGCCAUAUUACAAGCAGUUGGGUUCUGGAUGGAGGAAGCAGAGCGUAGGCAGACAGAGAGGGAGAGAGGGGCAGUGGGUACUAACCCAGCCUCUCAGUACGUCUCAGAAUCAGUGUUUGCUGACUCUGACCUCGAUGCCGCCCCACCGAGUAGACCCAAGCCAGCUGCAAACCAGAAUCUAGCUGGACCACCGCCAGAAGGGCGGGACCAAGUGGGAGCAGCAGCGCCCGAGCAAGCAGCCGAACAAAGACAACCAGCUCCACAUAAAAACCUUUUACGGGGAGAACCGCCCCUACAGCCUGACAUCUAUGCUGCAUUUAAAGAACGGCUGGACCAGAGACUAAAGCACCAGCUGAACAAACUGCUUGAAACACUUGGGGAAACGAGUUCAGAUGCAGAUCCAAUGGCAAAACGCACCCAAAAACAUGACAUCAAGCCUGAACCAGGGGAAAGGCGGACUGCAACUCAAGCCCAGAGUCGCUUCUCUCCCAUGGUCAAAAUAGAUGGAUCAGAGGGUUCCAUGCUAGUACAUCGGUACUGGACCGAAAAAGACAUUAUGGAAGCUGCCUCUGACAUGGCAGACCCCCGCCAAGUGGGGGGACGAAAGUUCGGAGAAGAGUUUGAGAACUUUUGCAGAUCAUGCCAACCGACUGAGAAUGAAGUCAAACGCAUCCUGAUGCGGAAACUGGGUUCCAGUUACUGCAAGAUAGAUCGGGGCUGGACGGGAAAUGAUACUCACCUGAUUAACCCAGACUACGCCACAGGACUUGACCCGAAUGGGAACCAAGGGGGUCCUAACGGUCCCUACUGGAUUAUGAUUAGAGACUUGAGGGCUCGUCUGGAGGCUGCUUUUCCCUUACACGUAAACACGGAAAAAAUAGCAGCGUGCAAGCAGGAAGAUGGAGAAACAGUUCAAGACUAUCUGGUCCGCCUCACAAGAGUACACACAGACUUCAGCGGAUUAGAAGCGCCCCAAGCGAGAGCGGCUGAUGCAGAGCAUGUGAGCCCGUGGGAAGCGUACUUGCGCAACAGCUUCCUGCUAGGGCUGAAGCCUGAACUUUUUAACGCCAUAAAGCAGCACUGUGUGGGCUACAACAAGAGCCCCCUGAGUACGAUUGAAGACUACGCCGUGCAUCAUGAAGCCCUCCUUAACGCCGAAGCCAAAAGAAAGGAAAAGAAAAGAGCGGACAUGCUGGACCAAGCAAUUUUAACCAUAGUUGGACAAGUUGCAGCCCUCCCUGUGAGUGUUUCGAGAGGGAGGGGCAGGGGGAGAGGACAGUGCAGAGGCAGAGCUCGAAGCAGAGGCAGGGGGAGAGUAUUUGCUUGCAGUGGGCAAGCCUUCCAGCCGAGCCAACAAUAUGAGAAUGCACACUGGAGUAACCGUUGCUACAACUGCGGAAAGCAUGGACAUUUUGCUCGGGACUGCUGGGAAGCGAUCACACAAGAGGAUGAGCACAUGGGUCAGCAGUAG